UUUCUUGUUGAUCAGUACUAGAAAUACUUCCGAUUCACCAUGUCCUUUAGCUUUGAUUUUCUCUUGACAUUGGGACAUUUAUAGAGUCUGCAUGGGUUUUUGUGACUGCUUUGCGUUUUUUACGUUGUUUUAGUAACAUGGGUCCGGGUUCACGAAAAAAAAGUUAAGAAUAAAAUAUGUAGUGAUCUCUGCAAGCAGAUCAAAAAGAUUUUGUUUUUAAUUGAGCUGAUCAUUGAAUGUUCAGCAAGAACUGCCAACGCCUGUGAUUUUCUUCGUGAUUAGUUCUUAGGAAACAAUUUGAGAACUUAGAGAAAUUCUUACGAGCUUCUUGGAAGUUUUUUUUUUAAAGAAAUGUGUUUUCUUUCGUAAGAAGAAGCCCCUUAAGUUUGCAAAAUACCCUCAAUAUAUUGACAUGGAGUCAGAUGAAGAGUGCGAAUUUGACUCCACAUGGGAAGACGAAUACGAAAAUAAAACACCCAGAAAGAAGGUGUUGGACAGAAUGAGUCGCAGGAAUAUGAAUGCUGCAAAGGAUAUGCAAGACUUUCGACAUAGUUACCAGAGCUUUGAUGACCAUGAUGAACCAUAUAAAGGCCGCUUCUAUAACCUAGAAUUUUACUAUGGUCAAAUGAAAUCUUCACCUGAUGAUGUUCACAUUGAUGAAUUUCACCAGCAGUGGUGGGGUGAAUAUGAAAGGCUGGAAAAAGUUUUGACCUACAUUCAUUGGCUGUUUCCAUUACAAGAUCCAGGGUUGAAUUUGAAUGCACAUGGGCUCACAAAAAAUGAAAUAAAGCUUUUCCGUAAAGAUAAUAAAGCAAAGAGUAAAUUGGUGAAAUCAUAUAAGCUCAUGUUGGAUUUCUACGGUUUGCGUUUGGUCGACGAAUCAACAGGAGAGGUGGAACAUGCUCCUAACUGGAGGGAUCGCUUUAGAAACCUGAACAGGGUUUAUGUUGUCAUGUUUUCCUUUUUGUUGAAUUUCAUUGAAACUAAUCAGUAUUUUUAUACAUUUUCAGUGGUUAGUGUUUUGUUUCUUUGAUUUUCCAGAUAUUCUCACAACAACCUUCGCAUCACACGCAUCCUGAAGUGUUUGGGGACUCUAGGAUUGGAGCACUACCAGGCCCCACUGGUCAAGUUCUUCCUCCAUGAAACUCUAGUGACUGGGAAAAAGAGCAUUACUGCUGCAGCAGAUGGAAGCGCACUAUGAACAGCAGAAGGCUAAGAAGAAACAGCAGUGUCUGAUGUCUCAAGCAGCGAAGGAGAGGAAUGCUCAGAUCCUUAAGGAUUUACAGAAUGC